rnacentral:tRNA from 1 species
AGGGGCGUCGCCAAGUGGUAAGGCAACGGACUUUGACUCCGUCAUGCGUUGGUUCGAAUCCAGCCGCCCCUGCCA